rnacentral:tRNA from 1 species
AGAAGCGUGGUGUAAUGGUAGCAUUACUGUCUCCAAAACAGUCGGUGAGAGUUCGAGCCUUUCCGCUUCUGCCA